ACGGAAGGCAGCAGUGGGGGAUAUUGCACAAUGGAGGAAACUCUGAUGCAGCAACGCCGCGUGAGGGAAGAAGGUUUUCGGAUUGUAAACCUCUGUUUUUAGUGACGAAACAAAUGACGGUAGCUAAAGAGGAAGCCACGGCUAACUACGUGCCAGCAGCCGCGGUAAUACGUAGGUGGCAAGCGUUGUCCGGAUUUACUGGGUGUAGAGGGUGCGCAGGCGGGACUGCAAGUUGGAUGUGAAAUACCGGAGCUCAACUCCGGAACUGCAUCCAAAACUGUAGUUCUUGAGUGGAGUAGAGGUAAGCGGAAUUCCGAGUGUAGCGGUGAAAUGCGUAGAUAUUCGGAGGAACACCAGUGGCGAAGGCGGCUUACUGGGCUCUAACUGACGCUGAGGCACGAAAGCAUGGGUAGCAAACAGGAUUAGAUACGGUA
rnacentral:rRNA from 1 species